GAGUUUGAUCAUGGCUCAGGACGAACGCUGGCGGCGCGCCUAACACAUGCAAGUCGAACGGAGCUUGUUUGUUUGAUUCUUUCGGGAUGACGACUUAUAAGCUUAGUGGCGAACGGGUGAGUAACACGUGAGUAACCUGCCCCAGAGUGGGGGACAACAGUUGGAAACGACUGCUAAUACCGCAUAAGCCCACAGCACCGCAUGGUGCAGAGGGAAAAGGAGCAAUUCGCUUCAGGAUGGCCUCGCGUCCAAUUAGGUAGAUGGUGAGGUAACGGCCCACCAUGCCGACGAUUGGUAGCCGGACUGAGAGGUUGAACGGCCACAUUGGGACUGAGACACGGCCCAGACUCCUACGGGAGGCAGCAGUGGGGAAUAUUGCAACAAGUGGGGGAAACCCUGAUGCAGCGACGCCGCGUGGAGGAAG
rnacentral:rRNA from 1 species